CUGGUUGAUCCUGCCAGUAGUCAUAUGCUUGUCUCAAAGAUUAAGCCAUGCAAGUCUCAGUACAAGCCGAACUAAGGUGAAACCGCAAAAGGCUCAUUAAAUCAGUUAUGGUUCCUUGGAUCGUACAAUCCAUUACUUGGAUAACUGUGGUAAUUCUAGAGCUAAUACAUGCAAACAGAGUCCCGACCGUAAAUGGAAGGGACGCUUUUAUUAGAUCAAAACCAAUCGACGUCCGUCUGCUUUCGGGCCGACGGCGCCGUACUCCUUGGUGACUCUGAAUAACUUUUGGCAGAUCGCACGGUCUCCGAACCGGCGACGCAUCCUUCAAAUGUCUGCCUUAUCAACUGUCGAUGGUAGGUUCUGCGCCUACCAUGGUUGUAACGGGUAACGGGGAAUCAGGGUUCGAUUCCGGAGAGGGAGCCUGAGAAACGGCUACCACAUCCAAGGAAGGCAGCAGGCGCGCAAAUUACCCACUCCCGGCACGGGGAGGUAGUGACGAAAAAUAACGAUACGGGACUCAUCCGAGGCCCCGUAAUCGGAAUGAGUAUACUCUAAAUCCUUAUACGAGUAUCAAUUGGAGGGCAAGUCUGGUGCCAGCAGCCGCGG
rnacentral:rRNA from 1 species